UUACUCUCACAGGAGGCACUUGAACCCUUUGACUUCCUGCCCGCUCAUGAGGUCACUGGUCUCAGUGGGAGUGUCUGUGAAAUGCAUGCUCAAUAACAGCCGACUGAAGGCAAGAGAGACCAGAAGGAGGAACAGGACGUGCUGUGAAGGGAGAGGAGUGAAUGACAGCAUGACAAUGUUCCCAAACACAAUGCCAGUGGAGUAAAAGCAUACCCGGAGAGCAAAACACACA